rnacentral:rRNA from 1 species
CCUACGGGAGGCAGCAGUGAGGAAUAUUGGUCAAUGGGCGAGAGCCUGAACCAGCCAAGUCGCGUGAGGGAGUACUGCCCUAUGGGUUGUAAACCUCUUUUGUCGGGGAGCAAAAGCCGGACGUGACCGGCUGUGAGAGUACCCGAAGAAAAAGCAUCGGCUAACUCCGUGCCAGCAGCCGCGGUAAUACGGAGGAUGCGAGCGUUAUCCGGAUUUAUUGGGUUUAAAGGGUGCGCAGGCGGAUUUUUAAGUCAGCGGUAAAAUCGUGGGGCUCAACCCCAUCCAGCCGUUGAAACUGGGGAUCUAGAGUGUGCGAGAGGUAUGCGGAAUGCGUGGUGUAGCGGUGAAAUGCAUAGAGAUCACGCAGAACCCCGAUUGCGAAGGCAGCAUACCGGUGCACAACUGACGCUCAGGCACGAAAGCGUGGGUAUCGAACAGGAUUAGAUACCCCAGUAGUC